rnacentral:rRNA from 1 species
GAUGAACGCUGGCGGCGUGCUUAACACAUGCAAGUCGAACGGAAAGGCCCUGCUUUUGUGGGGUGCUCGAGUGGCGAACGGGUGAGUAACACGUGAGUAACCUGCCCUUGACUUUGGGAUAACUUCAGGAAACUGGGGCUAAUACCGGAUAGGAGCUCCUGCUGCAUGGUGGGGGUUGGAAAGUUUCGGCGGUUGGGGAUGGACUCGCGGCUUAUCAGCUUGUUGGUGGGGUAGUGGCUUACCAAGGCUUUGACGGGUAGCCGGCCUGAGAGGGUGACCGGCCACAUUGGGACUUGAGAUACGGCCCAGACUCCUACGGGAGGCAGCAGUGGGGAAUAUUGCACAAUGGGCGGAAGCCUGAUGCAGCAACGCCGCGUGCGGGAUGACGGCCUUCGGGUUGUAAACCGCUUUCGCCUGUGACGAAGCGUGAGUGACGGUAAUGGGUAAAGAAGCACCGGCUAACUACGUG